ensembl:lncRNA
CUGAAGUGCAGGUAAAAGGUGUUUAAAGAGGACUUUAUCUCGACUGUAGCUGCGGAAAUCAAGAUUAUGUUCCUGUCAGAGAUUCAGACGUAGCGGAGAAUAAAUCCGGAACGAUCUCCGUUUGUGUAUUGAACGACAAUAAAGAUAAGCACUAACCACUGAAACCAUAAUAAACUGGUCAUUGCCCCCCCACCAAAAAAAAGGGUUACACCUCCUCACUUCCACUUCAGGGAGGGGCAGGGACUCCAACCUCAUGCCGUUUGUUUUCCGUGUAGAGGAUCUGCUGUGUCUUGGGACCGAUGCAGACGCCUCCUCAGAUCUUCUCGGUCAGUGCCUGCUCUUGGGUCAGCAGAUUUUGUCGCUGUAAGUGGUCUCUGAUCCCUUCCACCGAUUUCAUCCCUCAUCGAUCCUGCAUCAGAAAAAACCCUCGUACCUUUCUUCCCUGCAUUUCCUCGUGCAUGCGUCCUGGUAGUUUUGCGGCUGACCAGCAGCAGAGGCUGAUUUCCUCAUGCAUGGCCUGCACCAGCAUGCACACACACGCGCGCACACACACACUCUCACUC